rnacentral:tRNA from 1 species
UUUAUGGAGUGCUAUUUAAGCAGCUUAAUUUCGACUUAAGUUUUGGUUUAUUUAGUGAAG